AGUUUGAUUAUAGCUCAGAUUGAACGCUGUCCGACAGGAUGCUUUACACAUGCAAGUCGAACGGCGGCACGGACUUCGGUCUGGUGGCGAGUGGCGAACAGGUGAGUAAUGUAUCGGAACGAUACCCUAGUAAGCGGGGAUAACUACGCAGAAAGCGUAGUUAUCCCCCGCUACUAGGCCCUACGCGGGACCAAAAGCACCGAGGACCAGUG
rnacentral:misc_RNA from 1 species